rnacentral:rRNA from 1 species
GUCCACGCUGUAAACGAUGAGCACUAGGUGUAGCGGGUACUCAUUCCUGCUGUGCCGCAGCUAACGCGUUAAGUGCUCCGCCUGGGGAUUACGGUCGCAAGACUAAAACUCAAAGGAAUUGACGGGGGCCCCGCACAAGCGGUGGAGUAUGUGGUUUAAUUCGACGCAACGCGAAGAACCUUACCUGGGCUUGACAUCCCCGGACAUACAUGGAAACAUGUCCUUCCCCUUCGGGGGACCGGGUGACAGGUGCUGCAUGGCUGUCGU